rnacentral:rRNA from 1 species
CCCUUAGAUGUCCUGGGCCGCACGCGCGUUACACUGAUGCAUUCAACGAGCUUAUAACCUUGGCCGAGAGGCCUGGGCAAUCUUGUUAACGUGCAUCGUGAUAGGGAUAGAUUAUUGAAAUUAUUAAUCUUGAACGAGGAAUUCCUAGUAAACGCAGAUCAUCAAUCUGCAUUGAUUACAUCCCUGCCCUUUGUACACACCGCCCGUCGCACCUACCGAUUGGAUGGUCCGGUGAAGCCUCGGGAUUGUGGUUCUUGCCGCUUUAUUGUGGCGUGACCGCGAGAACUUGUCUAAACCUUAUCAUCUAGAGGAAGGUGAAGUCGUAACA